UGAACUAUGUAUCUUCUCAAACCGCAAAUUGGUUUGCGGGGAGAUUGCGGUGAUUAUGCGGUUUUAUUUACCCACAGUACUUCCCUCUCGCUCAAGGAACGGCUUUCUUUUCCCAGUUCACAUAUCGAAAGAUAAGCCCAAAUUUACGGCGCAGUACACUCCUCUCUUUGAGUGACGGGAGUUUUAUUCAAUAUGUGCUUUCAAAAUAGAUAUCCUACAUGUUAACCCCAGUCACCACCGUCGUAUAUAUUGCGCAAGGCGCCUGGUCAGAACUAAAAACGCCCGACCAGCCAAAGACAGGAAAAAGAGAGAGAAAUGAAGGUAUCAUAACGAAUUUGUCGUAUAGUUAAGUGAGACGUUUGGACGGGCGCUGGAAAGUCAAAAUACGCGAUGGCGAAAAAGAGAUGGCCAUGACAAUGGAAUGACGAUGACUCUGAUGAGAUAUAAAAAGAUCACAAAAGACAAAAGUAAAAAUUUAAAAAAAAAAAUAACAAAUACGAGGCUCCAAAACU
rnacentral:sRNA from 1 species